GUGAUGGUUUGAGGGAUACCAUGAAGACGGUAGUCUUUGUGUAAGAACAAUGAAGCUGUCUUUGAUGCUGAAGGAAGACCAAGAGUAGGAAUAAAGUUAUCUACUUCAACCAGAAUUACCAUGCUAUUGUUGGAACAGAGAAAGGUUGGAGGAGAGCGACUUGUUUGGUCUUAGGGGUCUUUGAUGGGACAUGGACAUACUCCUUGGUGUCUUUAGUAAAUUGGCCACCUGUCAUAUCUGACAACUGAUAUCUUCUAGCAUUUAUGUGAUUCCUCAGUGACCUGCGAGCAGGGUAUCAUGGAAUAGAUUCCG